CCCUGGUGUGAUGGCGUGGAUCGAUCAGAGCAAAGGGGGGAGAAGACAAACCCUAACUUCAUGAAAUUCUCAAGAAUUGAAAGAGAUUAGGAGCCCAAACUAAUGCAUGAACUCGAAACCUCAAUCAUCUAAGCUUGUACAACAAGCGGAACGUGUCAAGGAGAGGUCAAGCAUAGGAGGAUAACGGGUCAAGAUAAGGCAAGAUGACAAAUACACUUAUUGGAGUACUCGAGGUAUGGGGUCGUUGGCUUCAUGAAGAAAUGGAGCUGGAUUUGGAUAAGAGUAUUUAAGAAAGCGCUUGGACAAUUCCACGACUACUUUAUAGAAUGCUCUACGAAAUUUUAUUAUAUAGUUUAAUGUUGAAUGGUAUGUUGAUAACUAAUGGUUUGGUUGUACGUGGUGUCCACAGGUAUCGCUUGGGUUUUCUCUACUUUUAUUGAAGUGAAGCGGACUUAGUUCGAGUUGAGAGCAAGGAUUGUACGGGGUAGAAUGGUCACAUAGUGUAACUCAUAUAGGUUUUGAAGUAUUAAUGUUAUAAAACGUUAUAAAUCCGUUUUAAUGAAUAUAUGGCAUUUCGCAUUUGAACUUUCAUGUGUUUGAUAUGUCUAUUAAAGAACGAAAUUUUUGGGCUCUUGUUUUCCGCUGCGUCGUAUUUUAAGUUAUUACGCGUUAGUCUUACAGGGAAUUGUUCUUAUUACGAACGGGUCAUGCCCGAAUUUUGUUAAAUAAUAGUAUGAUAAUAUUACAUUUUGGAAUGUGUAAUUUGGGCGUAACAAGUUGGUAUCAGAGCCCUGGUUUGAGAGAAUUAAGUACGAGAGUAUAAGUACUUGAACUCAAACCUGUGUGCUCUUGUGAUAAGGAACCCGUACAAUCCAUGACUCGAUCAAGAUCUAAAGGUAGAAAUGGAACGAAAAUGUGUAAGUAUGUAUUAGAUUAUGUAUUUGAAAGAAACUAAUAGUGUGUUAUGUGCAAGGUAAGCUUAAGAUCUUGAAGAGGAUGAUCCGUGAAUACAGAAUGGGAUGAACGCUAAGGCGGGCAAAGGUGCAAAUAGGCAAAUUAACCCCAGGUACACAUUACUAAUAUGUAUGAGUACCGAUGUCAAAAGAAAAAGGAAGGGGUCUCCUUGGGAGGGAAAUUAUUAAACGAAAGACAAUGAUGUGGUCUUGGGGAAGUUUUAGAAAUGUGCACGAAACUGAAACCCAUUUCUCGGGCAUAAGGCGAUGAUUACACGAAGGCACGAAACUAGUGUGUGAAUUGCGCACCUGGCCAGUACGCAAGAAGCAUAUGACGUUCGUGAGACCGUGGCAAUUAUUGCAGGUAUGUCCGGUAGAACUGGGUAGCAGGUGGGCGCUAUGUUGUAGCGAAUCCGAAAUAGCAAAUCCAUUGCGGAUUUGGUUAUGCUAACGAAGGUUAUGAAAAGUUAUGCGAGUCGACCGGUUCUAGCGAACAAGUCGAAUAAGAAUAAGCUACCAUCCGUUUUGAACGGGUGAUUUUGAAUGCUCUAAUGAAUGCUAGAAGCUUAAUCCGUUAUACGGAUUGAAAGAAGAAGUUAUGAUUAAAUGUGAAAAACCCAAUUAUUUGGGUAGUGGAAAAUGUGUAUGCUUAACUCUCGUUGAGAGUGUUUAUGCCAAACCCAAUUAUUUGGGUAGUGGAAUGUGUAUGCUUAACUCUCGUUGAGAGUGUUUAUGCCAAACCCAAUUAUUUGGGUAGUGGAAUGUGUAUGCUUAACUCUCCUUGAGAGUGUUUAUGCCGAAACCCAAUUAUUUGGGUAGUCGAAUGUGUAUGCUUAACUCUCUUUGAGAGUGUUUAUGCCAAACCCAAUUACUUGGGUAGUCGAAUGU
rnacentral:lncRNA from 1 species